UUUUCGAUUUUCCUUCGUCUUUUUCUCUUUUGUACUUGGCGUCUCUUUGCUUUUCUCUCUACGCUUGUGUUCAUUUGACAAAAUGUUUUCUAUUUUUUCGGUUUCUUAUAGAGAAAGUGAUCACUCCCUUCUUCAUUUUAUUUUAUAUAAUAGCUCACAACUCGGUGGAUAUAUUAAUUUUUCAAUUUGGACUCAUUUCUUGCUGAGUUUUAUACAUGCAUUUAGUAAUUUCAUUCAUCUGCACAUGUCUGUUUAGUGGCCUAAGAUAGUACUUUGAGGGUGAAACGGGUGGAUAUUGAUUGAUUAAUUUCGUGGUUGAUCUAAUUUUUCUGAUCCAAAGUUCCUUUUGUUAAUUGUUGAAUAAUCCCUUUCUGAAGUCAAGUUUGAGCUUGGUUUUAAAAUUUAGCUGGCAUUUUUCUUGCAUAAAUGAUAAUUUGUUUCAGUUUUCACUCAGCGAUGUGGUACUAAUCUGUUCCUGCGUCUGUUGUUUCAUCGUUUCGGACUUCGGUAAGUGCUGGUCUUCUAUCUCCGUAGCUGCUUGCUCAUAAAUGAUCCUUCAAUUAUCUAUUUUUCAUCUAUAAGCCUAAGAAAAAAUAAUGAUUGAGUGCAUUUAUACUCUUUUUUGUAUUACUUGCCUUUUCUGUCCUAAUCAGCUAAAAAAGUUGUUAUUUAUCUUCAAUGUCAAUUACAAUUGUCCAGAAAAAAUGUAGUAAUUGAUUUAAUUGUUGGAAAAGUGUUGACGUGAUUGUAAAUGGGAAUUUAGUUAUAUUAUUGGCUAAUGUAACAUCUGAAAAGAUGUACAUGGUGACUACACGUUAAGAUUCUUUUUGAUAAGUUAUUGACUGCACAUUAAGAUUCUUGAAGCUCAAAGCAAAAAAGAACUUACCAGUUUGUUAUUUUUAAGAUCCGUCGUCAUUUUUUCCUUCAAAUUUUGUCUUUCUUAUUUUGUCUUAGUGAGCAAGAAGCAACAAAUACUAUUUCUUAUUAACUCAUCUGAUUUAAGGAAAGGUAAUCCAAGGUAAAAGGAUUCUUAAAUUCCUAUAAAUUCUAUUUACAAGGUCAAAAUAUUGAUAGAUCGUUUCUUAUGAGCUUCUAAAUUAAACAUGCAAAGGGGGUGAUUAUUUUGAUGCAAAUUUCUUUUUUGAUAUUAUUGUCUAUAAUUUCCUCCCAAUUCUACUAAUAAGAUCAGUAUAAUAGAAUGCAAGGUCCACUUCAAAUCACUUUGGAAGCCCGAUUUUAGACCCAACCAUGGAGCUACGAGGUCCUUCUGGUGUGGCGAUUGCUUAUACAACUUUAACUAGAAGGCUUAUUAGAAAUUCUACGAGGCUAGCUUACCUCCCAAGUCUCUAAGUGAGCAAGAAGAUGCCCGGCUAGAAAGAAAUCUUUCGAAUCAAGUAUAUGAUAUAUGUCAGGAAAGAUAGGAAAGAUAGGUUAAAUGGGGAAGAGGAGAUAGAGGUGCAUUUGGUCAAUGAAUGUUACAAAGUUCUGAUAAGCUGGAUAACAAUGUUGAAGCAUGUCUUCACAGGAUAAUCUUGGGGGGUUGGAGCUCUUGAAAGGAUAUAUCGUGAGUGUCUCAAACCCAGUUCAGUGCAUCGCCAACACAUGUUAUGUUCUCUUUGGUAUAUGAGUAGAAGGUAUUGCCUAAUUACUGAAAUUUUAUGUUUUUAUAACUCGCUUAGAAUGGAUAAAGGGUUCCAAUUAAUUUGGAUUUAAGACAGUAUUUAAUUGAUUGAUCUUCCUUUUCUUGAGUUUAGUUGAAUCCGAGUAUUUUGGAAUUAAGGUGUGAAUGGGAAGCUCACAGAAAUGAACAAGGUAUUAAAAUAGCUACUUCAGAAGACUAACUCAGAUGUUAGAUUUUUCGUCCAAUUGCAAUCUGUCAAACAACUAUUAUUCUACUUUACACCCUCUUAUGCUAUCUUGCUCUAUUGGCAUUCAAGAAGUAGUGCGACUCUUACUAUUUUUCUUCCAAUGUGAAAAAAUAAAAAAAAUAUACAAAUAAUUUUGGCGCUCUUCUAAAUUCCAUUUCCUUUAAUUGAUUGGUGUUACUUGCUUGUGCUCCAAACUCUCCUCAUUUUGUGUUUUUGGAAUGGCAAAGGAUGGCUUGGGCUGAUGAUUACAGCCCUUCUAAAAGAUAAAUUCAGAUGUGCUUCUGAUGUAUUCACAAAUGCAAAUGUUUUUUUUUGCGUAUUAUGCUCUAUGAUAUAAUGCCCUUUUGCACAUCUAUAGCAGAUAAAACUAUCCUAUUAUACAUGUAUAUAGAAGCGUUUCACUUAUGUUUACCCGUUUGGCACGUGUACAGAAAAUUGUCAUGUAUGUCAUGUUCUGCCCUUAGUU